UAAGAGGUCCCGCCUGCCCUGUGACUAUAAGUUUAACGGCCGCGGUAUUCUGACCGUGCGAAGGUAGCGCAAUCACUUGUCUUUUAAAUGGAGACCUGUAUGAAUGGCAUAACGAGGGCUUAACUGUCUCCUUUUCCCAGUCAAUGAAAUUGAUCUCCCCGUGCAGAAGCGGGGCUACACUCAUAAGACGAGAAGACCCUAUGGAGCUUCAGACACCAAAGCAGACCAUAUACCCACCCUCCCACAAAGAGAAAAAGCAAAUGAUCCCCUGCCCUAGUGUCUUCGGUUGGGGCGACCGCGGAGAAAAAAGAAACCCCCGCACGGAAUAGGUACACUCAUACCCACAACCAAGAGCCACAGCUCUAACUACCAGAACUUCUGACCAACAGAUCCGGCAAUGCCGAUUAAUGGACCAAGUUACCCUAGGGAUAACAGCGCAAUCCCCUUUUAGAGCCCAUAUCGACAAGGGGGUUUACGACCUCGAUGUUGGAUCAGGACAUCCUAAUGGUGCAGCCGCUAUUAAGGGCUCGUUUGUUCAACG
rnacentral:rRNA from 1 species